AACAAAGACUUAAAUAUUUCCAAAGAAAACUAUUACCAAGAAGCAAGGAUGUUAAGAAAUAUUACUGAGAAGAAACUGAGAAGGAAAGAUUUGCUCUUUUGGAAUAUGAACAAUGAUACUGAUCCAAGCAGCUCCUGGAAAGGGCUUGGCACACUUGGAAAACCAAGACCAUAUUCCUGGAUCAAGAACCAAGAGUGGCACAUCUCUAUUCUGGAUCUGACACCUGAAAG